rnacentral:tRNA from 1 species
GCCCCCGUAGUUCAAUGGAUAGAACUCCUCACUCCUAACGAGGUAAUGCGUGUUCGAUUCACGCCGAGGGCA